GUUUAGAUAUUUUGUUGCCUAGCAAUUACAAAACUCUAUAAGCAGUAAGCAUCAUACACAUUAUUCAACUUUGAGGAAAAACAACUUUAAUUGCAAAUUUAACACACGGAUUUUGAUAAUUAUAAUUAACUAUACUCUGUUUUGUAAUUAACUGGAUAACUCAUACUCUGUAUUGUAGUGGUUAUGAGUUUUUUGUUACCGGGCCACACAUGUAUUUGACUGCCUGCUAGAGAAAGAAAAUGAAAUUUAAAUACUUUUCUUUUUGCAUUUCACCUUAAUUUAUUAAAUUAUUUAAUCCAAUUUUAAAGAAAAUUAAAUGUUUUUAAUUUUUUAUGGCACUUCUAAUAUUUAUUUUCAGUUAAAAAGCAUCAAUCUCAGUUCAAUUCACUCAUCAAUGAUGUUCAUCAGAGACAUAUUGGUCAGGUGCAUGUCAAGAAAGAAAUUGAGGACUCAGUUUUCAUAAAUCAUGAAUAUGUUCCUGAUAAGACGAUUAGUGACCAUGACACAAUUGGACCUAUAAAAAUUGAAGAUCACUCUUCCUCAGGUACUGGCAAUAGUAAAGAAAUUGACAUUAUAGAUGCGUCAUCAUUGGAUGAUUUUGAUAUUUCAAAACGUACUGUGAAUCAUCAUCAUAAAAGAAAGAAAGCUUCUCUGGGUAACCAAAAUCAAUCCAGUCCUAAGAAAAAAUAAAAUGGAGUAUAUUAUAGAUUUUAUUUCAAAAUAUUGUAUUCUAAAUUUGAAAUAUUCAUUUUUUUCACUUUCUGUCACAAGAGCCAAAAGAAUAUAUUAUAUUUAUCUAUGUAUUUUUAAUGUUUAACAAUUUUGAAAUUUGCAUAAGCAUAAUUUACAAAGAUAGUUUUAUUAAUAAUAAGACAUUAUAUUCACAUUUAAAUCGUCUCAUUUUUAUAAAAUAGCUUAUUGCACUUAUAUCUAUGAAAUUACAAAUAGCACUGUUAUAAUUUUGAAAUAUUAGAAAGAAAGAAUUAAAAACUUGCAAUUUGUAAAGGUGUUCAUUUUUUUUCCACUAUGCAUUUACGAGUAUAAUGUAUUAUUGCUUACUCCAGGCUUUAUUUUUUUUAAAUUGAAGUUACUAAUUAAUUUUUAUUUUCCUAAUUAGAUAUUUUUUAAAUUAAAUAAAUUAGAAUGUAAAAUUGGUCAGUCAUUGGACAAGUGAUGAACUAAAAUUUAACUGUAAUUUUUUCUACAUUUUUUCCUUAAUAUUUUUAAAAUUAGCCUGGGUUAGUUCUAAUACAUAUUUUUAAUGGUAACAAAAAGAGUAAAGUACAUGAUCGUAUAAAAAGCACUUUUUCUAAAAUUAAGUAAAUAUUUUUGAUUUCUAAAAAAAUGUAAUGUAUAAUUAAUGAUUUCUGAACAAUUAUAGUUUUACUCGUAUAAAAUUCCUGUCAAAAAUGUAUCUCCUGUAAUCGUAAGGAAAUCUUGAUAUAGCAUGGUUAUUUUCUUGUGAGUGUGUGAAUUUCCUUUGUUGGAUAGGGGAAUGUAGAAGCAAUGUUGCUGACUUUCAAUUUAUUUCAUAUUUAUGAAUUAUUUAUUUCUAACUGAUGUGAUCUUUUUUUUUUUUAUUUAAAAUUCUGUGCUGUGCAAUAGAUUAUAAUUGUUGAAAUUAUUUAUGUUGUAUAUUUUUGAAUAAAAGAUUUUCUCGUAAAUAGGGAAUUUAAUAAUACAAUUUUUUCCAAAAGCGACAUUUUUGCAUUAAACAUUCUUAAUAUCUUU